UGAAGGAGCCAUGAAUGUGAAUUUGCUUCCUUGACCUCUUUUCCAUUUCACUUGUUUUUUACUGUACAUGUUUUAGUUACCUAAAAUUAAUCAGACCUUUGGCACAAUUUUGAGUUGGUUUUCUGGCUGAAAAUGAAACAAGGAAUUGUUAAUCGUCAAAAGACUGUAAGAACUUGUUUCAAGAGAUUUUCAGAUGCCUGUUUUCAUAUUUUUUAUUCAAUCCAUCCUUUUUUUAUAAUGUUUGUCCUCACUUCUGGUUGCGGGUGAGCUUGAGCCUAUCUCACCUUGGACUGGUCGCCUGCCAUUCACAGGUGGCAUACAAUUUGCACUCACAUUCACACCAAUUAAAACAUUUUGUCUUCAAUUAAUUAAUGCAUGUUUUACGAAUGUGGAAGGAAUCCGUAGUACUGAGAAUAAAAAUACACGUAAGCUCAGGGAGAACAUGCAAACUCUAUAAUUUGUGUUGCAUUUUGAACUGUGUUUAUACUGUAUCCCUGAUCUUAUUGAACAAUUUGGGGAAACAGUUCAUCGCACUGUUCUGAACGAUACUGGUUACUUGUAGCAUAAUCUAGCAGUGGCGGUUAGCACAUCCACCUCACGGUUCUGAGGACCCAGGCCUCGCAUCCAGCCUCGCCUGUGUGGAGUUUGUGCCUGUGUAGGUUUUCUCCGAGUAGUCCGGUUUCCUCCUACAUUGCAAAAACAUGCGUGGUAGGUUAAUUGAAGACUAAAUUGUACAUACGUGUAAAUGUAAGUUCAAAUGGUUGUUUAUCUGUUUGUGCCCUGCGAUUGGCUGGCGACCAGUUCAGGAUGCACCUCCCUUGCCCAGAGUCAACUGAGAUAUGUGCCAGCACGCCCGUGACCCGAGUCAGGAUGAGCGGUAUGGAAAAUGGAUGUAUGGACAAUCUAGGAUUCUAAUCAGGGUUGGGCGAUAUAGACUAGUGAGCGUCACAGGCGCUAUCCAGGAGGAAUUAUUAUUAGGCCCCAAGCACGUGACCCGCGAGGUCCCUAUUGUAUCUGUAGAAAUUAUUCUUAUUAUUAGGGCCGGAGCGGGUGACCUCCGAGGUCCGUAUUGUAUCUGUAGAAAUUAUUCUUAUUAGGGCUCGAGCAGGUGACCUGCGAGGUCCCUAUUGUAUUUGUCGAAAUUCGUCUUCUUCUUACUAUUAUUAUUAUUAGGGCCCGAGCGGGUGACCUGCGAGGUUCCUAUUGUAUUUGUAGAAAUUAUUAAGGCCUGAGCAGGUGACCUGCGAGGUCCCUAUUGUAUUUGUAGAAAGUACAACAAAAUUGUAAUUACAACAGAAACUGACCUAGGAGCUUUUAAAGGUACACUUUUGGAAAAUUUACAGGUGUCACACUUUUGCGAACUUGUCCUACAGGUUUCAUCCGAUUGACUUCAAACUUGGUCAGUUUGAUCUCAACACAUGGGACAUUCAAAGUUAUCAAAAGCUUUUUUUAACCCGACAUAUGACGGUGGCAGCUCUUCAACCGUAGCUUUUCUCAUGUCGCCACUAUACAGGACAUGGUGACAGUUCAAAGAACUAUUUGCGGUUUGUUUCACACCUACGAAAAAUUCCUACACGCGUGUAACACCCCUACACGAACAAAAUUGUAAUUGCAACCCAUGUCCUAAACUCAACAGAAAACGAUCCACGGCCUUUUAAAUGUAACAUUCACAGUACUUAAAAGUCCCACCAUAAUUACCAACAAUACAUACAGUAAUGUAGUAGCCCUAGGAGUUCAUUACUUUCCCCCCCCCCCCAACAACUGCAUUUACUCAAUAUAACCUUUGAGAAGGCUUUGCACUUGUCCAACAGCAUUGUUGCCCUACCUAUGGCCUGGGGACCAUUUGCGGGCCAUCCCCCAUUUUUGUGUGGCCCGCAUUUUCUCAAUAUAACCUUUUACACGGCUUUGCACUUCUGACAGCAGGAGUGUUCAACCUAUGGCCCAGGGGUCAUUUGCAGCCGGUCCUCUCAUUUUGUGCAGCCGGAAAUUUUUCCAACAUAUGCAUGGGUCAUACUUUUGCACUUGUCCUACAGCGUGGUGUCCAAACUACAGCCCGGGGGCCAUUUGCAGCCCUUACUUCAUCGUGCCAAUACCCCAACCUGCCAGGACCUCAAACUUCCAACGGGGGCGGGGUGUGAGGGCCUGAUUAUAGCUGCUUGUAGCUGUUGUUAUUAUUAUUGUUAUUAUUAUUAUUGUAGUCAUCACAAACAAGGCCAUUUUUGAGGCACUAAACAUGCAUGAAAACUAAUGAAAUUUGGCACGCACAUGAAAUUUUGAUUAUUUCAUGUUUUCAGGUGAAAUAGCUUGACAGUCCCUCCUAGAACCAUGCCUAAACAACAUCAAAGGACAACUCGGUGAUCCGUUUGACCUACGGCUCUGAAAAUUGGUACGCAUAUAGAGAAGAACCAGACGCACAAAAAAGUCAAUGCGCGCAAUAUCGUAACUCCAACCGGAAGUGAACUAUGACCUUUUGAAGGAAAAUUGUGGAACAUUUUGGCAUUUUUUUCAGGGUUUAUACUUUUGCGAACUCUUCCUAUAGUUUUCAUCCGAUUCGCUUCAAACUUGGUGUGUAACAUCUCAAGACAAUUCUCCCGGUCCUCUCCCGGUGGGACGUGCCCGGAACACCUCACCAGGGAGGCGUCCGGGAGGCAUCCAAAUCAGAUGCCCCAGCCACCUCAUCUGGCUCCUCUCGAUGUGGAGGAGCAGCGGCUCUACUCUGAGAUCCUCCCGGAUGACCGAGCUUCUCACCCUAUCUCUAAGGGAGAGCCCGGACACCCUGCGGAGGAAACUAAUUUUGGCCGCUUGUAUCCGGGAUCUUGUUCUUUCGGUCAUGACCCACAAGCUCGUGACCAUAGGUGAGGGUAGGAAUGUAGAUGGACCGGUAAAUCGAGAGCUUCGCCUUCUGGCUUAGCUCCUUCUUCACCACAACGGAUCGAUACAAAGUCUGCAUCACUGCAGACGCUGCACCGAUCAGCCUGUCAAUCUCCCGUUCCAUUCUUCCCUCACUCGUGAACAAGACCCCAAGAUACUUGAACUCCUCCACUUGGGGCAGGAUCUCAUCCCCAACCUGGAGAGGGCAUGCCACCCUUUUCCGACUGAGGACCAUGGUCUCAGAUUUGGAGGUGCUCAUUCUCAUCCCAGCCCUUCACACACAGCUGCGAAUUGCUCCAGUGAGAGUUUGAGGUCACGGCUUGAUGAAGCCCACAGAACCACAUCAUCUGCAAAAAGCAGAGAUGCAAUACUGAGGCCACCAAACCGGACCCCCUCUACGCCUCGGCUGUGCCUAGAAAUUCUGUCCAUAAAAGUUAUGAACAGAAUCGGUGACAAAGGGCAGCCUUGGCGGAGUCCAACCCUCACCGGAAACGAGUCCGACUUACUGCCAGAUAUGCGGACCAAACUCUGACUCCGGUCGUACAGGGACCGAACAGCCCGUAUCAGGGGGUUGUAUCCCCCUGAAGAUUGUUAUGAAGAUUUAUUAAAAAAAAAAAAAAAAAAAAAAGAAAUAUCACACAGCCAUAAGUAUUCAGACCCAUUGCUGUACCACUCAUAUUUUUAACUCGGGUGCUGUCCAUUUCUUCAUCCUUGAGAUGGUUCUACAACUCAUUGGAGUCCAGCUGUGUUUGAUUAUACUGAAUGGUCUCAAGAUGGUGCCUACCCAUGUGGACGCCUCGGUUUACGCGCUCUCUAUUGUUUUUGUUUUUGUGUUUUUUGCUCGUCUUUGGCGACAUUACACGAUUCACUUACACAAGGGGAGACUUACUAACCAUUAUGAAGGCUACUCCGGACUUUCUUUCACCAACUUUCGCAAAUCCGGAUACAGAUACAGAUUGCCGUUUUCCUCCAUCCACCUCGCGAAUCUACGCUCCCUACACUCUUGCAGAAUCCCCUGUCAGAAGGAGUUUCAACUCCCACAGAGAGGUGACAUUCCACGUCCCUGGAGCCAGUUUCUGUAGCCGGGGAUCGGAUCGCCAAGGUCCCUGCCUUCAGCCACCGCCCAGCUCGCACUGCACCUGACCCCUAUGGCCCCUCCCACAGGUGGUGAGCCCAUGGGAAGGGGGACCCACGUUACCCUUUCGGGCUGUGCCAGGCGCUCGCCUUCGAGCCCCACCUCCAGGGUAUGGCUCCAAGAGACUUUUUUUUGUAUGGCUUGGGCUGCUACAUCCAUCCAUCCAUCCAUUUUCCGAACCGCUUAUCCUCACUCGGGUCGCGGGCGUGCUGGAGCCCAUCCCAGCUGACUCUGGGCGAGAGAUGGGGCACACCCUGAACUGGUCGCCGGCCAAUCGCAGGCCACAUAUAAAUAAACAAGCAUUCACACUCAGAUUCACACCUUCGGGCAAUUUAGUCUUCAAUUAACCUAUCAUGCAUGCUUUUGGAAUGUGGGAGGAAAUUGGAGUACCUGGAGAAAACUCACGGAGAAUAUGCCCCAGAACUGUGAGGCAGAUAUGCUAACCAGUUCACCGUGCCGCUGGGCUGUUACCUAUGCCUCCCAAUUUUGGUAGUCCUAGGUGAAACGUAUAGCCAGGGCUGCUUUUUUGAAAAUUUGUAGGGGCCACUAUCGCCUGGUGUGUACACAAAGUUUUACGAGUUUGCAUGCAUAUUUAGACACUUAAAACUGGUUUCUUCACAAAGAGAGCAGCAAACAGCGUGUCGCCAUGGCAACAGCUUUGCUUGAAAACUCACAAACUUUGUAUUGUGACAUCAUGAAGGCGUUAACAGUCCGCUGUGCAAAUAUUAACCUGCUAGCAGGAGAACAACAAAGUAUGAAAUGUCAUUUCCUUGUGCCAUUAGGUGGCGCAAUUAGUAAGACUAAUAUUUGUUCUGUAGAGCCCUUUAAGCAUGGACUGUCAAGUGUGUGAAAUUUAGAAAAGAUCUGACCACCUGGAGUUAAGUCACAGCUUUUGAUGUCAUGUUAAGUCAUCACAUUUUGCCUCGCGGCCGCGACCACAUCUUCUACCAAGACGUCAGCAAAGCAUGAUCAAGGUCUUUUUCCCCUAACUGGGAAAAAAAAAUAAAAAUCAGGUGGAUGUGCUAAACGUGCUCACCGCUGUACAUUAAACUGCCAGCAGUUUCCUGAGCAGGGAACCCCUCGACUGCCAGGCAUUUUCGAGCAAUUUCACUCAUAUUUCAAGCCCCACAGAAUAUUGUGUACUAUGACUAUGUAAAUACCAAAACCACCUAAAGAAAGAUUAGAUUUUCUUCUUUCAUCAGAAAAAAAUGUUUGUCUCUAGCUUAUACCGUUCUUUAGUAAUUAGCAGUCAAAUAUAGGCUACUUUCAGCCAAAUGUGUUUCUGGAAGAAAAAAAAUGAAAAAGCCUUUUUGUGAAAGCAGACAGAUCAAGCAGAACUUUGACAACAAUAUUUGUUUUCCUUUAGGGAAAAUCUCAAACAUCUGAACAUAAAACAACACUGAGAAAGUACUUUUGACAGAAAAAUAAUUUAUUUACACGUAUAUGUACAGAAUUUACAUUAGACAAAAAUGCAUGAACAAAUGGGCCUCCCACACUUGUGCUUUUUUUCCUCCAAAUUCCCCUCUUCUACCGUUUUCUCAAUAGUCCAGGUUUUUAUUACCUUGCGCAUAAAAUCUAGCAAAGUUUUAUCCACAUUUGAAUUUAAUUCUUUGGUGGCGGUGAAUGGGAUCUUGUGUGGUUGUCAUUGUCCUUGAAACCAGUCCCUACUUCUGCUCGAACCACAACCUGUGCAGUUUAGAAACAAAUACAUUGUUGAAAUUGCUGUCGUGGUACAUGGAAUAAAAAAAGCUUUCAAUUACCUUUUUUGUCUGCACUGCAUACAGGGAGUCGAACGUCUGCUGGAUGUAUAACCUGUAAGUUUUAAAAAAUACAUACCAUUACUAGAGAAUACUUUUUAUUGAUGACGUGUAUUGCAAGGGUUUAAAAAAAACAACAUUACUUUUCUUCGUCGCAAUCAUAGAAGACGUUAGACUCAAGGGUGUUGAAUCCUGCAAGAUGGACGAAAUGGAAAAUUGAAAUCAGUACUGGCAACAGAUGUUACAUUGUAAUGUGAACUAUCCAUCCAUCCAUUUUCUGAACCGCUUCUCCUCACUAGGGUCGCGGGCGUGCUGGAGCCUAUCCCAGCUGUCAUCGGGCAGGAGGCGGGGUACACCCUGAACUGGUUGCCAGCCAAUCGCAGGGCACAUAGAAACAAACAACCAUUCGCACUCACAGUCAUGCCUACGGGCAAUUUAGAGUCUCCAAUUAAUGCAUGUUUUUGGGAUGUGGGAGGAAACCGGAGUGCCCGGAGAAAACCCACGCAGGCACGGGGAGAACAUGCAAACUCCACACAGGCGGGGACGGGGAUUGAACCCCGCACCUCAGAACUGUGAGGCUGACGCUCUAACCAGUCGGCCACCGUGCCGCCGUAAUGUGAACUAGUGUGACAAAAUUGUGUUUUUAUGCAACAAUGAUUGAAGGAGCGUGUUUGCCCGCUAAAUGUAGCUAACGCGAGCUGCAAACGAGUUACCUUCGUCUCCAUAUGAUCCGGAGGGAUGAAGCUCGGCUGGCGAUGCAGAGGGAGUUCACUCAUCUGACGAUUCCGGAUUCCAUUUACUCGUAUCCUGGUCGGCAGAUGAUCACCUGGCAAGCGGCUGAGGAUCUUGUUAUAUGGCCCGGCAUUUUGGGCGAUAGCUUGGCAACAAAGCGAUGAGCUCGGAGCGUAAUUCUGGUUCGGGUGCCAUUCCUCAUUGCAGUUAUCCAGAGGCUUGACGAUCACACAUCAACCGCACAAGAGCCUCCCCUACCCACCCCCGUUAAAAAACGCCACUGACGUCUUUAGACGGCAUUGGCAGGGAAUAGAUGGUUUCUGAAUGAUGUCUUUGGAUGGCAUUGGCAGGGAAUGAGUUAAAAUCUAAAGGAAGACGUUUUUUGUCGCCACUAGGUGGCGCUAUAUGUACAAUGGAAUAUUGUCAUACAUAUGUGUUCAGGGCGUGACUUGUCUUUAUGUCUCAAAAGUGUUCUCUGUCAAUUGACUGUCUGUUGUCGUACAAGAGCGUCUCCAACUACCGGAGACAAAUUCCUUGUGUUUUUUGGACAUACUUGGCAAAUAAAGAUGAUUCUGAUUCUGAC